CCCUCUCACAGCACGUUCCCGUCCAUCCCGCGUUACAGUUGCACCGUCCAUAGGCAGGUCUUCCUCCAUUACGACACGCGUUUCUGUUACAUGCCCGGGUCUCCGAAAAGUGAUAUGGACAUUUUCCUCCACAGCACUCGGUCACGCUUUUCCCCCUGUGUCGUGUCUGGGUGCCCGCAUAACCACACUGGUGGCUACACCCGCUCCACCAUGACCAUGAUCCUGGUACACAAUUUCGUGGUGGUGGCGGGGGUGGGCGGCGUCGACGUCGCCUAGGGCAUCCUUCUCCGACCUUUGGGAAUACCAAGAGUGCAAUGCAUAGCGGAAUGAACUUCAUUUAUAGUCGUCGGAUUUUUGGAUCGAGUGGUACGAAAUGUUUUUCUUGUUUGGGAUUGUUCAACUCAGAUGCUUUUGUUUGUUGAUAUUCUUCUUAUUUGUAUAUUUCUUCUUUGUUUUUCUUGUUCAUGAAACAACCUAAUUGAAUAAUAAUGAAUUUGAAUAAUCUUUUAAUAAAAUCUACACACAGUCGAAUCGCUGCCAACUUGGUUCAAAUUUAUUGGCGGCACAGUUGCCUGAGUGUUCGUCAUUCACUA